CACAAGCGGUGGAGCAUGUGGUUUAAUUCGAUGCAACGCGAAGAACCUUACCAGGUCUUGACAUCCCGAUGCUAUUUCUAGAGAUAGAAAGUUACUUCGGUACAUCGGUGACAGGUGGUGCAUGGUUGUCGUCAGCUCGUGUCGUGAGAUGUUGGGUUAAGUCCCGCAACGAGCGCAACCCCUAUUGUUAGUUGCCAUCAUUCAGUUGGGCACUCUAGCGAGACUGCCGGUAAUAAACCGGAGGAAGGUGGGGAUGACGUCAAAUCAUCAUGCCCCUUAUGACCUGGGCUACACACGUGCUACAAUGGUUGGUACAACGAGUUGCGAGUCGGUGACGGCGAGCUAAUCUCUUAAAGCCAAUCUCAGUUCGGAUUGUAGGCUGCAACUCGCCUACAUGAAGUCGGAAUCGCUAGUAAUCGCGGAUCAGCACGCCGCGGUGAAUACGUUCCCGGGCCUU
rnacentral:rRNA from 1 species